UACGUAGGGGGCUAGCGUUGUCCGGAAUCAUUGGGCGUAAAGAGCGUGUAGGCGGCCCGGUAAGUCCGCUGUAAAAGUCAAAGGCUCAACCUUUGAAUGUCAGUGGAUACUGCCGGGCUAGAGUCCGGAAGAGGCGAGUGGAACUCCUGGUGUAGCGGUGGAAUGCGCAGAUAUCAGGAGGAACACCGGUGGCGAAGGCGGGUCUCUGGGCCGAUACUGACACUGAGGAGCGAAAGCGUGGGGAGCGAACAGG
rnacentral:rRNA from 1 species